CCUACGGUGGGCAGCAGUGAGGAAUAUUGGUCAAUGGCCGGAAGGCUGAACCAGCCAAGCCGCGUGAAGGAUGAAGGUACCAAGUAUUGUAAACCUCUUUUGUCAAGGAACAAAGUCAGGCUCGAGAGCCCGAACGAGGGUACUUGAAGAAAAAGCAUCGGCUAACUCCGUGCCAGCAGCCGCGGUAAUACGGAGGAUGCGAGCGUUAUCCGGAUUUAUUGGGUUUAAAGGGUGCGCAGGCGGGCUGUUAAGUCAGCGGUAAAAGCCCGGGGCUCAACCCCGGCGAGCCGUUGAAACUGGCUGUCUUGAGUUGGAGAGAGGUAUGCGGAAUGCGCAGUGUAGCGGUGAAAUGCUUAGAUAUCGCGCAGAACUCCGAUUGCGAAGGCAGCAUACCGGCGGCGAUCUGACGCUGAGGCACGAAAGCGUGGGUAUCGAACAGGAUUAGAUACCCUAGUAGUC
rnacentral:rRNA from 1 species